AAUGAAGUCCAGGCGGUCUUUAUGGGACGGGCAUUGGUCCGUGGGUACAAAAGUUAUUUAGACGUCAUGGAGGAUGGGUGGAGACAAUACACGCCGCCACCACCACCAAAGGACAGUGAAGGU
rnacentral:ribozyme from 1 species